rnacentral:tmRNA from 1 species
GGGGAUGAAAAGUUUCGAUGUGGAAUAGACCAAAACAAGCAAGUCGAGUUGUCGGAUCUCGUAAAAACUGGCAAAAAGAAUAAGUGCCAACUUGUUCAAACAACCUGCAUUAGCACUAGCUUAAUGCCAUUUGAUUUGCCGAUUCUCGCUUAGCAAAUUCGAGUGUCAAAAUCAGCGAGAUAAAUGAUUUUCUCCGAGCCCUGGAAAAUCAUUGAAAAAGGCCGGGUUCAAGAUGCGAAAGUUUUGUCCGUUUUAAAUUCCGCAUCUCUUUACAAAUCGGACUAAGCUUGUAGAAUUAUUUUGGGAAAAUUCCUCAGACGUGGGCGCAAUUCCCACCAUCUCCACAA